rnacentral:lncRNA from 1 species
CACCACCCUCUAUCAUUCCCUAAUCAUGCCUUAAUGAUUGCCCCGUCCAAUAAAAAUGAUAUUUUUUUUCUGUCGGCACUGUAAUGGUCGACACCCAUAUGUUUUUUUUUGAAAUACCUUCAAAAAAUAUGGAUAUUCUAUGAUUUAAAAAAACAAAGAAAAAAUAAUAUUUUAAUAGGUGUCAGCGUUGAAGUGGCUGGCACCAGUUCAAAAUAAAAAAAUGGAUUGAGGAGGAAGAGAGCUACACUCCGAUUAUGUCAAUUGGCCUGAAGGACGUCGGUGAUGGCUGACUGCAUAAUGGAGUGAAGGAAGUGGCUAAAACAAAUGAAGAAGGAAGAAGAGAUGGAGAAGGAAUGAGAGAAGCAAAGAAUGAAAAAUAAAAAUGAAACUAAAACCCAUUUGUAACCAUUAUUGAGGAGAGAGAGGAGAUAAGAUGAAAGUUCAAUAA